GGGGGGGCGCACUCUUACCUCACUCAGUUCUUUUUAAAAUCCUGCGAACCCGAUGGCUAUCACUGAGCGCUUGCAUUGCACGCAGCAACUCACAUAACCGCGCACUCUGCAAUGCUCUGUCUGAUCUCCCUUCUUGCUACAGUUUUAACAAAGUUUUAAGAGUUCGCGUCACUUGGAUUGCGUCCUUGUCUCGUGGCCGAGGCUAUUGUCUGUGAGGUGAAGCGGAGCGCGGCAGUGCAGUGCGGUGUAGUGUCCAGUUACAAACAGUGCACUGUGCUGCUGCGAGGAGGCACGGCGACAGAAAUAUAUGGCUCUAGAGAGACGGCAGAGAGAGACCGAGAGAGAGAGGGGGAGCGAGAGAUCUGAGAAAGCUGCACAGUAGUCAGAGACUGACCCGGAGUUACUGGAUUUUGUUUUAAAUAGGAGAACGCAAACUGGGAUUACUCCACCUUUACCGUAAUUUUUUUCCCUGAGCCACAACAACACUCACCUUCUUCAGACUGGUUGAGACCUGCAGUUGUUCUCCUGCUAGAUGAAUAGGAGUAGUUGGAGACGUCACUAGGCGUGUCUCUAAUGCGAUUAGCUCACGGCCCAACAGGAAGUAACCGACGCCCCACCUUCCCAUGGCUCCGCCCCCCGUGGGUCGCCUCUCCCUUACCCGGCAUGCGGUGCUGCUGCUGCAGUGCAUGCUGGUCCUGUGGGCUGAGGGCGUGGUUGGCAGGAGAGGGCCGGUGCUGCUGCCUGAGUCGCCCUGUCACCGGGCAGAACACCCCCUCAUCUCACACACAGAUAUGGAGCCGUGGAUCCACAGGUUCCGGGAUGAGGGCACAGUGGAUUACUCCCAGCUAACCUUUGACCCCAGCCAGAACGAACUGAUAGUCGGAGCCAGAAACCACCUCUUCAGACUCAAUCUGGAGGACCUCUCGUUGAUCCAGGAGGCGGAGUGGCACUGUGAUGAGUUCACUAAAGGAGCCUGCUUCAGUCGGGGGAAGUCAGAGGAGGAGUGUCAGAAUUACAUCAGAGUGCUGCUGGUGAAUGGAGAUAGACUGUUCACCUGUGGAACCAAUGCUUUCACACCCAUCUGCACCAACCGCACUCUGACCAACCUGACAGAGAUCCAUGACCAGAUCAGUGGGAUGGCCCGUUGUCCCUACAACCCUCUCCAUAACUCCACAGCCCUGAUCACCUCCAGCGGAGAGCUCUAUGCUGCUACCGCCAUGGACUUCUCUGGCAGAGACCCAGCUAUCUAUCGCAGCCUGGGGGGGCUGCCGCCUCUACGCACUGCACAGUACAACUCCAAAUGGCUCAAUGAACCUAACUUUGUCUCCUCCUACGACAUUGGGAACUUCACCUACUUCUUCUUCCGAGAGAACGCGGUGGAACACGACUGCGGUCGGACCGUGUUCUCGCGCGCCGCCCGGGUCUGUAAGAACGACAUUGGGGGCCGCUUCCUAUUGGAGGACACCUGGACCACGUUCAUGAAGGCGCGGUUGAACUGCUCUCGACCGGGAGAGAUACCGUUCAACUAUAAUGAACUACAGGGGACGUUCUACCUGCCAGAGCUAGAACUGCUCUAUGGGAUCUUCACUACUAAUGUGAACAGCAUAGCAGCAUCUGCGGUGUGUGCCUUCAACCUCAGUGCCAUCACCCAGGUGUUUGGAGGUCCCUUCAAAUACCAGGAGAACUCUCGCUCCGCCUGGCUACCCUACCCUAACCCUAACCCUGACUUCCAGUGUGGUACCAUAGACUACGGCUCCUACGUGAACCUGACAGAGAGGAACCUGCAGGAUGCCCAGAAGUUCCUGCUGAUGAACGAGGUGGUUCAGCCGGUCCAGCCUGUCCCUUACUUUAUGGAGGAUAAUAUCCGCUUCUCCCACGUAGCUGUGGACGUGGUGCAGGGCAAAGACAUGCUGUUCCAUAUCAUCUACCUGGCCACAGAUUAUGGAACCAUCCGUAAGGUCCUGUCUCCUCUGAACCAGUCCAUGGGCAGCUGUCUAUUAGAUGAGAUUGAGUUGUUCCCGCCCAGGAGGAGACAACCAAUCAGAAGCCUCCUGAUCCUUCACAGCAGCAGUGAGCUGUACGUCGGGGUCAGGGACCAGGUCAUCAAGAUACCACUGAUGAGAUGCAACUUCCACAAGACCAGAGAGGCGUGUGUGGGGGCGAGGGACCCGUAUUGUGGCUGGGACCUGGUGUUGAGGAAGUGCACCACACUGGAGGAGAGCGUCAGCAUGAGCCAAUGGGAACAGAGCAUCACUAAGUGCCCUGUGCGUAAUGUGACGGUGGAUGGAGGGUUUGGGUCCUGGUCAGGCUGGGGGGCCUGUAGCAAUACUGAUGGGGGCAGUGCUGGGUCCUGUCUGUGUCGGACCAGGGCGUGUGAUAACCCCACACCCCAGUGUGGGGGUCAGUCCUGUCAUGGACUCAACGUGGAGGUAGCCAACUGCUCCAGGAAUGGAGUGUGGACCCCCUGGACUCUGUGGGCUCCCUGCAGUACCAGCUGUGGCAUUGGCUUCCAGGUCCGCCAGAGGUCCUGCAGCAACCCCACUCCGCGCCACGGAGGACGAGUGUGUGUGGGGCAGAACCGAGAAGAGAGGUAUUGUAACGAGCACCUGCCCUGCCCGCCUCAUGUCUAUUGGUCGGCCUGGUCGGCAUGGGAACGCUGCACGGUGCCCUGCGGAGGCGGCAUCCAAUCACGUCGCAGGACCUGCGAGAACGGCAACGAGUGCCCUGGGUGUGCCCAGGAGUACCAGUCGUGUAACACCCUCCCGUGUCCAGACCUGAAGAAGACCACCCCUUGGACCCCCUGGACGCCGGUCAACAUCUCGGACAACGGCGGUCACUACGAGCAGCGGUUCCGGUACACCUGUAAGGCCCGCGUCCCGGACCCUGCCCUGCUAGAGGUGGGCCGACAGAGGAUAGAGAUGAGGUACUGCUCCAGUGAUGGCUCCACUGGAUGCUCUACUGACGGAGAGCUGCUGCUGUCGGGUAAGAUCUCCGGCCACACCGUGAAUGGAGGCUGGACAUCCUGGAGCUCCUGGUCUCAGUGCAGUAGAGACUGCAGCCGAGGGAUACGUAGCCGUAAACGAACCUGUACCUCCCCUGAACCACGCCAUGGAGGACAGACCUGCCUGGGACCUGCUCAGGAGUACCAGGAGUGUAAUGUCACACCCUGCCCAGUGGACGGUAGCUGGUCGUGCUGGUCUGGCUGGUCUAAGUGUUCAGUGACGUGUGGAGGGGGACACUAUAUGAGGACGCGCACCUGCAACAACCCCCCACCAGCCUACGGAGGAGAUAUCUGUCUGGGACUGCACACUGAAGAGGCUCUUUGUAACAUACAAUCAUGUCCAGAGAGUUGGUCUAACUGGUCUGAAUGGUCCCAGUGUGACAGUGCUGGCUCCCAGCUGCGUGUCCGUCACUGUGACAUCCUGUUCCCUACUGGAAACCAGUGUUCAGGAAACCACACCGAGACCAGGGCCUGCCCACCUGACUCCAACUUUAUACCAGAAGUCUCCAUUGCUCGUUCAAGUCAGGAGGAGAGAAGAUGCGGAGAUUUCAACCUGUUCCAUAUGAUUGCUGUAGGCCUAAGUAGUUCUAUCAUGGGUUGUUUGGUCACUUUACUAGUGUACACCUACUGCCAGCGCUACCAGCAGCAGUCUCACGAUGCUACGGUCAUCCACCCCAUCUCAGCAGCACCACUCAACACCUCCAUCACCAACCACAUCAACAAACUGGACAAAUAUGACUCGGUGGAGGCCAUUAAGCCCGAUGUGUCCGUACUCUUGACCCUGGAUGAACCCGGCAUGCGCCAGCCUCUGUCUGCUAACAUGGGCGUGUCCAUGCGUGGCCUGGAGAUUUUCUACUAACUUUCUACUGACCUCUGACCUCUACAACAUCCCGCCUCUUGACCCUCCUCCUAACCUAUCAGCAACCUCCUUCCUCUUCCUCCCCACCGCGCCCCCACUUCCUGUGGCGCUUCUGUGUGCGGCAGGCUUUCAAUAAGAACAACCUGAUUCUGGAGGAAAGAAAUAAGUACUUCAACCCCCAGCUAGCCGGGAAGACAUACACCAACGCAUACUUCACGGACCUUAACACUUAUGAUGACUAUUAACCCUUCGUUGGGCUACAGCACCGGGGAUACACACCCUUGUGUAGACAACAACCCCACUCCACUCGCUUUGACUAUGUCCUAUUUUUUUCUGCUUUGUGGUUUCUAAUGUAAUUUGUGACAUUUUAUGUGGGACCCUCCUACUCUGGGACCCUUAGGCAGCUGCCAUUCAAUCAAAUUACAGCCAGACAGUGAUGUCAUCAAAGGGACAUGCCCACUUUACUUUCCUUCAGGUGCUCUGAUGGGGUUCACUGGGAAUGUUCAUCUUCGGAAAAACAAAAAACAACAAGAUCCUGACUUGACUCUCACAAACAUGGAGACAACUGGAAUUUCGUUUUUUUCAUGGAAUGGAAAAAAGUUUAAAAAAAAUUUAAAUAAAUAAAAAUACAUAAAAAAAUAUAUAAAUAUAUAAACUUAAAGAGCUGUUUGAAUGGGAUGGAUCCCUCUUUGAUUUCCUGUGAAUUAUCUGAUUCCAGAACUGUGUCUGUUCUGGGGGAAGAAAACCACCUAACUGCUUUGCAUGAAUUCAUCUGACGUGUUUUUUCUGUCGCUCUGUUCAGUUUUGCAUGGUUGGUCACAUUCCACUCCACUGGUCUGUAGUCCAAGAACUGCUCCAUCUAGGGAGAGGCUAUACGGACAUACCUGGUGCCCAAAUUGUUGACGUAUGUCGCGCAGCUGAGAGUCGAGGGAAGACGAACGGAUUCAGUUCAGUCAGUUGUCCUGAUGAGCCCUUCCCAGCUAGCUAGUUUGCUUGUGGCUAGAAACUUCAGCGAGAAUUUAAAACUUGUCUGCCGAAUUUGGGAUUUGGGAAAGUGUUCAGAAUCAUUCGGUUUUUAUCAUAAUAAUAAAUAAAUAAAUAAUGAACACGUAAUGCCGUAACUGUAGAUUUCCGGUGCUUUAGCUGUCAUUCUGGCCUGAUAUUAGCUACACUAUCUAGCUACUUCCUUCUCCUAACUGCGGCAAGCGGGAGCGAAGGACACUGCCCCGUGUUGUGUUGCCGGCUUGUAGCUUAAACUCUCCAGUAGACUGUAUCACUGUGACAUCCAGAUGGUUACUACCAAUAUUAGUAGGACGCUAUCCUACUCAAAAUAAAAUCAAGUGGCAUGGUUAUGGUCAUUUGCACCGGCUUGUCGUUACGUUAGCUAAUUGGCAUGUCACGGCAUGUCAUUGGAAUAACAUCAUCCAGAUGGUGACCAAUAGCCUACAACUAUUUUCUCCCUCGCCCAUCGAAAUAAACAUAACUUUCUUUUACAAGUUGUAACUAGCGCCAUGCUACUUUUGUUGCUAGCUAGCCAGCAUAAACUAUCUAACGGGGAAGGGCUCAUCAGGAUGACUACCUGAACUGACUGAACCGAAAUCAUUCGUCUCCACUGGACUCUUUGCUGCACGAUAUAUGUCAUCAAUUUGGGCACCAGAUGUGUCUGUCUGUAUAGCCACUUCCCUUCAUCUGCUGUGCUAGGGUCCUACAGCGUACCCCCAAAUGGGGUGGCCUUAGUGAUGCCUGAUGAAUUUGACCCAACUACUAUGCUCAACGUUAGAUAGUCAGGUGCUUAGUGUACCCAGGGUAGCUGUCACUCAAUAGCUACCCAAUUUUAGACUUUUGUUUAACCGAUCUAGUGCUUUUAACCAUCUACCUGUGACAGCUAUCGAUCAGAAUGUAGAUAUUUUAGAGAUGUGACCAUAUUUUUUUCUCUUACAGGGCUGGCGUCAGUUUAGCAGUUAGCAAUGGUUGAGAUAUCAGUGUACAAUCUUUUUUGCUUUUUGUUGAUGUUGUUGUACAGUAAGCUCAUUUAGAAGCAUAUAUAUAUGUCUCUGUAGCUUUUAUAGGUCCAUUUACUCAAUGUCAGUGUUAAAAAUAAUAAUUUUCUUUGUUUUUGCGAUGAAGUAAUGAGUUCAUGCAAGUAGAUUGGAUAAAUUUGAAAGGAAAGAAUGGUCAGGAAUAUGUAACUAGAUCAUGCUUAAGCUGUCGUCAUAGAGGAGAGCGGGGGCAAUUGUAACACUUUUUAUAUUUUACUCUAUUGCUCAGAGACAACCUGAGCUAGGCCGGUCAUUUUUAUAUAUCAGAAACUAACAUCUGUCACCUAAUCAUUCAUACCAUUUAUAUGUCUGUACAUAGGACGGUCAGAUCCCAAUAUAGAUUUUAAUCAGAAACGUCCUGUGCCAGGGGCAAUUGUAACAGUAGCAGGGGUAAAAUGUAACACCUAAAAAAUAACCCAAAUAACAUGCUUAGAAAUUAUCAUAUUAUCAUAGACAUAUGUAAUGAUUUUGCAAGUAACCAAUAUUUACAGUAACACCCUGUGCAUGGACAUUCAGUUAAUCUCCAAACCUCUUGAAUAGUCUGAUAGUGCCCAGAUUAUAUAUUUUUACAACUUCUAUGGCACUACAUAGGAUCCAAUGUUAGUUAGUAUUUGUAUAGUUAUUUUAAAAGUUGAGUAAGUAAGAAUUUUCUCCACAAAUGUACAAACAUUUAUAUUAUGCCGUAUGUAAAUAGUUUAUGAUUAGUGAAUGCCAUAAUGUAGUUAUUUUGUUAGAUGCUUCUCCCUAUUAGCUGCAAUCAUAUUUUUUCAAAGCCAUUUUAGCUAUCACCCUAGCUGUUCAUUCUGAAAAGAUUUACAAGUCAUGGGAAUUUGUCGCGCUGAUGUUGACUCCUUCUGAGGCACGUGUUGCUAGGCAACCCCCCUGCACUUGCCAUGGCAGGCCUGCUCCCUCAAUGCUUAAAGCCAGUGUGAGAAACGUGCUAACCAACAUUUGUGCAAUGAAACUAAAUAAAUACUGCACUCAAAACAAACACAAAACGUAUUUGCUAAAUUCAAGAUAGUGUUGUUGGACAAAGCAAGGAAGGUGAACUUCAAAACUUAGUAUAGUUUCAUUGGAAUUUGCAGCUGUUGUUGGUAAGUAAUGAAUCCGCUAGCUUUGACAUGACUUACUGCAUCCAAGUUUAAAUUACUUGUUUUCAUAAGUUGUCUUCUUGGCUCAGGGUAAUUUUAACAUUGCAUUGCAAUUACCCCCAACCCUAGCAGCCAUGACAAAACCUCAUGUGCCUAGCAAAAGACAACAAUAGUGACACGUGUCAAUCAUGUCAAUGGUUAGCCAACAUAUAGUAAUGCAAAUUAUGCUAGUUUGAAUUCUUGGACAUUAAUGCUCAGGACAGUAUAAGAAAAAUACAGCUGCUGGAAAAAAAAUACUUUCACCCCUAAACAAACAUUUGCCAAUAAAGCGUGCAAAUAGUGAGAUAUUUGGCUUUUCAAGCAGGGAGAGAACCUAUGGACAUGUGCUGAGUGAUUUAAAAGAAAAAAAUUGUAGCUGAUUUCUGUGUGGAGAAAUUCAAGGUGUUACAAUUGCCACUGGUCUCCCCUACUUUGUAUAGUUUUUAUAAUUUUGGAAUUCAUCAUUUUGAAACUGUUUGUUCACAAUUGUUGAUUUGGCUGUGUGACUUAAUGAAUUUAUUCUGCCUGGGGUUAUAGUAACGGACAUGGAGAUAGUGCUUUACACACAUCCUUCUCCAGAAGCUGAAGUGGUGUAAUAUCAAGAUGUAAUAUCUCUGUUUUGUUUAAAGAUGAUGUACAUCCAUAACUGAGUGAAAUAUUCAGUAUGUUGGUUUCUUCAAUGUUUUCAAUUGUAACUAACUAUUUUUUUUUAUAUGUUUGCUUGUUUUAUUGUGCAUAAAUUAAAAACCGCUUGGUACACUU